AGUUGGCGUGAGCCCACCUUGACGUUUUCUUUUUGCCCUUUCCCCACUCACCUUAUCCUAUUUAUUUAACACAAAUAAUGUCCCUCACUCUCUCACGUAGUCCAAAUCUCAUUCGCCGUCCUGUUUAGUGUUGCUCCAUAGACUGCGUAAUACCCCGUCAGGACGGCGGGUUGAACUUUGCUCACGAUGUGCUUUUGCAGCGCCAACCCUGGCCGUGGCAUCGCCUCUGCUUUGGAGGCUCUUCGGAUCGCCGGCCGAAGGCACGGGCUCGUUCUGCAGCAGCGGCUCCAGCUCUGGUGCCUUGCGGCAGCUGCACGUCCCAGAGCUUGACAGUUUAAUCGGAAGAUUUCUUGAGACGAGGGAUCUGCUGCCUGAGAAGAGAUGUUUGCUAAAUUCCCAUACAAUUCAGUGCCACAAGGAAUGUUCAGUCAGCUCUGGCCCUUAGAAACCCCAAGGUAGUUAAUCCCCUUGCGCUCCCAGGAAAAAUUUGUGUCAGAGUGGAAAGAGGCAAUGGGUAAUGGUCGAGUACUACAUCCCCAGAUAGUGCAAACUGAUGUUGACCCAACCCAGAUGAGCAUCCAGCCUUAAAAAAUAAAUUCAUAUCAUUGUGAAAUUCUGGUUGGAUUCAGUGGGGAUGGCUUCAGGUCCCAUAUGCUCACCAUUUGAUGGUCCCCAUACUCACCAUUUGAUUUCCCCACAUGAAGAGUUCUGGAUUUUCAAAAGUGGUUUUAGAAAUAUCUGUUUUUGAGAAGCCAGUUUGAGCUGCCUACACCUGAAUUCUUGAAACUGAUGGCCACCUUCUGCUCCCAGUGACCUCAGCCUGAGCUGCGGUCACUUGGUGCUUACAAGGAUAAGGCUUACUGGACCUCAGGCUGGACAUUUCAAAAUGGAGAUACUCCAAGUGAGUAACUCUGAAAUCUUUAGCCUUGCCUUAGCUAGCGGGGGUCUUUCAAAUCAUUGACACACUGGGGUGUUAUAUAAGUAAGUCCCGGCUUCCAAGAUUUUGGGGGAAUUGCACAAUUCUUCAGCUGAAAUGGGAUUUAUCAUUAGUGGUGUUUUUUUAGGAAAUAAAAAUGAUUUUAAUUCUUGGAA